GAUGAACGCUAGCGGCAGGCCUAAUACAUGCAAGUCGAACGGUGGUAGCAAUACCAUAGUGGCGCACGGGUGCGUAACGCGUAACCAACCUGCCCGAAACUGGGGGAUAGCCCGCCGAAAGGCGGAUUAAUACCGCAUAUACUCGCAGCCUGGCAUCAGGUAACGAGGAAAGAUUUAUUGGUUUCGGAUGGGGUUGCGUGACAUUAGCUAGUUGGCGGGGUAACGGCCCACCAAGGCGACGAUGUCUAGGGGACCUGAGAGGGGGAUCCCCCACACUAGCACUGAGAUACGGGCCAGACUCCUACGGGAGGCAGCAGUAGGGAAUAUUGGGCAAUGGACGAGAGUCUGACCCAGCCAUGCCGCGUGCCGGAUGAAGGCCUUCUGGGUUGUAAACGGCUUUUCUCAGGGAAGAAAACGGGUAUGCGUACCACACUGACGGUACCUGAGGAAUAAGCACCGGCUAACUCCGUGCCAGCCGCCGCCGUAAAAC
rnacentral:rRNA from 1 species